CUGUCUUAGAAAAUGGGCAAAACAUGGGUCCUAGUGGAAUGAAGGGAGGAGCCACCGACCUGACAUUGUUCCUAAAAAGAACCUACUGAAAAAUAACUUUGACCCUGGAGAUGUUGUGGAUGUUGCCGAUGAGGAUGAAAGUUCACCAGCCACAGUUUUAGACUGUUUCUAAGACAACAAAGAAACUCUCAGGAGGAGGAUGUUCAGGAGAGGGGAAUUUACAGACACAGCACAAUAGACAUUUCCAGAUGUACCAAUAAAAGUUAUCAGGGCAGCACUCGGAAAAAUUAAAUGAUGAGCACAAGUUACAAGUAAGGGAAAUGGAGUAAAUGCAGCCUGCUGUGAAUUGGAUUCUGCUUUGGUCUACUUUUUUCUUUUAUUCUC